rnacentral:rRNA from 1 species
UGAGUAAAUGCCUAGGAAUCUGCCUGGUAGUGGGGGACAACGUUUCGAAAGGAACGCUAAAUACCCGCAUACGUCCUACGGGAGAAAGCAGGGGACCUUCGGGCCUUGCGCUAUCAGAUGAGCCUAGGUCGGAUUAGCUAGUUGGUGGGGUAAAGGCCUACCAAGGCGACGAUCCGUAACUGGUCUGAGAGGAUGAUCAGUCACACUGGAACUGAGACACGGUCCAGACUCCUACGGGAGGCAGCAGUGGGGAAUAUUGAACAAUGGGCGAAAGCCUGAUCCAGCCAUGCCGCGUGUGUGAAGAAGGUCUUCGGAUUGUAAAGCACUUUAAGUUGGGAGGAAGGGCAGUAAGUUAAUACCUUGCUGUUUUGACGUUACCAACAGAAUAAGCACCGGCUAACUUCGUGCCAGCAGCCGCGGUAAUACGAAGGGUGCAAGCGUUAAUCGGAAUUCCUGGGCGUAAAGCGCGCGUAGGUGGUUUGGUAAGAUGGAUGUGAAAUCCCCGGGCUCAACCUGGGAACUGCAUCCAUAACUGCCUGACUAGAGUACGGUAGAGGGUGGUGGAAUUUCCUGUGUAGCGGUGAAAUGCGUAGAUAUAGGAAGGAACACCAGUGGCGAAGGCGACCACCUGGACUGAUACUGACACUGAGGUGCGAAAGCGUGGGGAGCAAACAGGAUUAGGUACCCUGGUAGUCCACGCCGUAAACGAUGUCGAAAAAACGUCCGGGCUCCGAGAUUUUAGAGUCCAAACUAACCCCACCAAAACCAAAUAUAAGGGCCGA